AAAAUGAAGGGGAGAGCUAAAAAAGAGACCUAGGGACAAAAAAAAGCGGACAUCCACAGACCUAGGCCUCCCUCUCACAUCUCCUUCUUUGCACCACCCAACCAGACCUGGACCCCUGAUCUCCUACGCUAAAUCAACCACCAUAGUUCACCGGAAACCUCCAUCUCACUUCAGCGAGCCAUCCCCCCAAGUCACCCCGUCGUCGACCACCCCUGAAACUAACGACCCCUCACUACCGGCAUCUUCUUCACAAAACACGCACACUCACGCAGAAAACACGCAAAGAACCCAAGCGAUUCCCUGCUAAAUUUCAUCUUCUUAUACACUUCAAGGACACACCUGAAGAUCUCCAGCCAAAAAGGACAAUAAUUCUGACAACUCUAAGAAAAGAGAAAAUUCCUACAACGUGGCUUAGUCCGAAAAAAUUCCUACAAUGGUGGAGGACCAAACUCUGGCAAAAAUUAGUAGAGUAACCGAGUUCCGUCAAAAGAUCCGGCUAGUCGGUCUAGUUCGAGGUCCAAACUCAUUUACUUGUUAGUUCUCUAGCGGUUAGCUGAUCUAUAAUAGAGGUGAGCCUCGCUUAUCCAUAUGCUAUCAAAUUUUGUCCAUGUUUGAGAUAUUUCUUUGUAGUAACUUGAGAUUUCAAGAUCUGUGAUUAAUAGUUCAUUCAAUAGCUUAAAAAUGAAAUCACCAUUACAAAAUUAUUAUUGCUUCUACUGAAUAAGUGCUACUUUUAUGAAGAAAGUUUGAUUCCCUUUUAUUCAAAAACCAUAGAAUUCUGUUUCAUUUUUUGGGGUUGUAGAGUAGAAAAGGAAGACCAUUUUCCUGAUAAGAAAACCAAAAAGCAGAACUGGUUGUGCAAAAUCCUGUUUUGUUUGUUUUUUUUCUCUUUGAGAGUCAGCUAUAUUUUCGUUUGAAUUGAAAGACAAGUCUCUCUAGUUUUUCUUGGGUUUGUGUUUUCCUUAAGUUUAAAAUUGUGCUUUAGGAUUGAAAUCUUAAAAGGAGUCAUUCGGUUGUGCACCUUCCUGACUCUCGUGGCUAAGGUAUAAUCAUUUUAAGAUAAUAGAAUUACGAACUUUGUAGUUUUCUAUAUGCACGUAAUUAAAUCAUCACAAUUAUGGGUAUGGUUCUCAUAGCGUGAUUGUGAUACGUAAUCUCGAAUUAAUUUUUUUAGUAUGAAUACCCGUAAUUCGCUUUAAUUUGAGCACAAAUCUUUUUCUUUAAAUAAGUUGAGGUGUGCCAUACAAUCACCUAGUCUAUGGCCCUCACAUCGAUAUGUUAAUUAGUGUAGAAAAUACCUUGAAAUCUCAUAGUUUUCUUUAGGCACAUUAAUUAAAUAAAUUAUCGUAGCUAUGAGUACGGUUCCAAUGACGUGGUUAUGACAGUUAAUUUCUAAAAUCGGGGGGUACAUUUAUGUAACCUGGCCAUAAUUUAAUAUUGUUAAUAAAAUAAACAUGUUGUGGAUUGUGGGUACGGUUCCCGUGACACGAUUCACGACGUAUAAUCAAGUAAUUAGUUGUAUAACAAUCGAAUUAUUAAAAACGGUUAAAAGGAUUAAAAAUGCACAUAGGUUUAAAAGUUGUUUUAAAAUCAAAUAAAUAGGCCAAUAAUAACAGUUGAGGGACAUACUAAAAUCACGAAACCUGAAAAUGCCUAACACCUUCUCUCGGGUUAACAGAAUUCCUUACCCGUAUUUCUGUGUUCACGGACUGUAAAACAACGUCAACCUUUCAUCGAUUCGGUAUUUAAACCGGUGAUUUGGAACACCAUAAAUUAUCCCAAGUGGCGACUCUGAAUUUUAAAUAAAAUAAUCCCAUUUCGGUUGUCACUUAAAUUGGAUUUUGGGGUGUGAAAAAAGAGGUGUGACAGCUCUGGCGACUCUGCUAAGGAUCGAACCUAGAAUCUCUUAUUCAGGGUUCAAGAAUUCAAGCUUAGAAUAAUUGUUAUAUUUGAUUUUUAUUUAUUAUCUGGUUUUAAUUACAUGUUUGGGCAUAAUGUGCUAAAUGCUGCUUUUACCGCUUUGAUAUUAUCUGAAUUGUAUAUAAACUGCUACGAAACCCUUCUCUUCUCAUCUUCGGGGAUGUGCACGUUGACUCCUCUUCUGUUAGUGUCAUAACUUAAAUUAGGAAGAGGCUCGGACAAGAUACAAAGUCUGAUGGCCUUUUGGUUCCCGGUAUGUAGCCCCCCCGGCUCGAGUUAUCCGCUGGGGUACACAAGUCUAGAACAACAUACCCAAGUUUUGAACUUAGAAUAACUCAGCCUCAUGUCAGAUCCGUAGUAGGAAUGCUUGUCUGCAUCUUAUGCAUUUGACUUUGGGGACUAAACACAGGGGUUGGAUCUGUCUAGGACAGGUGUACCCAAAAAUAAAAGACCAUCCUGAUGCAUCUUAUGUGCUACAUUGUUGCAAUCUUCAAGGGUAAAAGGGUCAUUUGGCGGACCAAUGAUAGUUGAGGGCAAAUGAAAAAGAAAAAAAGAGAGAGGGUGAAGUGUGAAAAUAAAGCAGGUAGGACCCAAUUAUGUUUUCUGUCACAUUUUUGUUAAGAAAAAGACAAAUCCAACAUGAAAAAUUCAAUUUUUUUUGCACUUUUUCAUCAUUUUCCGAAAAUAAAAAAAAAAGUAAAAGCAAAUCCAAAAAGAGUUUACAUGUUUCAUCAUUUUUCAAAACGAAAGACAAAAAAUAUUAUUUUUUUCCGAAUCAACUGUUCUUUUAAUUCUCACCCGUAUCCAAUCUGCCCAAACUAUGUCUACCUGAUUCUCGUCUUUCGGGGCGUGAUACAUAGGCAACCCAUAUAGGGUCCGGUCUUCCUAGUGAGUUUAGGUUCUUGGCUUCGCGGGGUCUUAGCCAAAUCUUGCAUUUUUAGCCACAUAGGUUAAUUUUAGAAAAAUAGUCACAACCAAGUCUUGCAUGUGUCUAAUAGGGAAUGUUAUUAUCUCACAUAGUAUUGGUUUCAGUUUUCACAUACAGGUGUGGAUCUACUUAUUGGAGUUUAAGCAUGACAGAUACCCCAGGACUACUGCAUUCAGGAGCUGCCUGAGGAGCUUUUUUUUUGAGUCUAUUGUUCAUGUUUUACUUUCUAGUACUGUAUAGUAGUAUUCAGUAAUUUAGUUGAUGCUAGAGUCUGUCAUAGUCUAGUUAAGUUUAUCAAGUCUUUUGUUAUUAUUUCAUAUUUUGUAUUUGAAAAAUGUAUCAUAAAUCAAAAAUCCAAAAAAGAGAUAUUUUGCGUUUUAUAUUUCCGUUAGAAUUUUCUUUAGAAAUACUACUCCUAGAAAUUAAUUUAAAAAAAAAGAAAUUUGUAGAAAAUUAAUAUCUAGAAAAAAAAUUACUUUUAUAUUUCCUUUAGGAUACUAGGACUAAAAACUCAAAAAGAAUGGGAUUUUUCUCUUUUGAUAUCUCUUUACAAGUUUUCUUUAAGAUAUUAAUUCCAAAAGUCAAAAAGAUUUUCCUUUGAAGUUCUUCUUUCGGAAAUUAAUAAAACAAAAAAAUAUUCCUUCUAUUUUCAGUAGAACUUCAGGACAUUGUACAUAGAAGGAAAAAAACAUACUUUAUCUUUUGUUUAUCAUUAGAAUUUCUCCUUUAGGCAAUCAGAAAUUGAAAUCCAAAACAUUUUGUUUUAUCUUUUUCAUUGCUUGUUUCGAAAUCUCGCGUCAGGAUAUCAAAUGAAAAUUCAAAUUUUUUUUCUGUGGUUAAUUCUUUAGAUUUCCUUCCUAAAAAAAGAAACAAAAAUAUUUUUUCUCUUCUAGGGUUUUUCCUUAAUAAUUCCCUUAGAGUAUUUGUUUCAAAAAAAAAGGGGAAAAAGAAAAAUAUUUGCUCGUUUAAGAUUGGGUUUAGAAUAGAUUUAGAAUAUUAAGUCUAGAAAAAAAAGAGAUUUUAUUCUUUUUUGGUCAGAUUAGUCAUUAAGGUAAAAAAUAUAAAAGAAAAAUAAAAAAAAAGGAAACAAAGGGGGUGAAAUUAUAGGAUGUGAAAUAUGAGAGGAAUGAAAAGAGUUAUAAUUAAAAAAAAAAGAGGAAGGAAAAUGAGCAAGCCGAGAAGUGCUGAAGUGAAUAAAUUGGGAUGAUGCCAUAUGACCUUCAUACCCUUGAAAGCAUGUUAGAACCGAUAACUGUGUCUAAGUGCAUUGCACAUAAUGUGAGAUUAUCUUAUGUUAAAUGCCCUAACGCUAAUGGGAUGACUUUAUUUUUUUCCUUUUGUUAUCUUCAUUAUAGCAGAAGGGUGGGUGGUUUGUGGUUCUUAAAGUGGUAACUCUUCUCUACAACAUAAAGUCGAAAGGCAAUGGCAGACGACAACGGAAUUGAGUUGGUUGGUACUGGUGCCCAAAAGCAAUUGGUUGAACAGGGCAAUGGGCUGGUUGAAGAGGUAAGGAUGUUAAGACAGCACAUUGCGGAAAUGUAUUAGGCUUGGAUGACCGGGAAGGCACCACCCCCGCCACCUGGCUUCUUAUAUGCUACCCUUACCCAAACUCUGGCCAUAGUACCAGAUGAUCCCCCAUACUCUCCAUAUCCACCCGUUUAUCACAGCUUUCCCAAUCACCCUAGUAGCUUUAUCACUCAUCCUCCAAUUACCUCUCCCCAAAAUUGCUCACCUGUCAUAUCCACUACCCCCAUGAUCACAACUUAUCAACAAUCUUCCCUUCAUAGAUCCGACAACGAACAUCCACUCAAAGCCCAUGAUGCCCAAUAUUACCCCUCAGCGGUUGCCCACAAGGUUCAUGACUCAUAUAAUCAGAGCCUUCGGAAUGGCCCUCAUGUUGAAAAUGAAAAGUUUGCAGGAAAAGAAGGGUGAGAUGAGCUAUCCAGAAAGCUGAAAGGGUCUAAAACGUCAAAGCUUAAUUUAUAUGAUGGACGUGGAGAUCCAUUAGCCCAUUUGAGAGGUUACUGCAGUGAAAUGAGAAGUGUUGGCGGGAAAAAUAAUUUGUUGAUGACGUAUUUCAGUGAGAGCUUCACUGGGCAGCCUUGUAAUGGUAUACUCGUCAAGAUGUCAAUAAGUAGCAUACAUAGGACGAUAUGGCUCAGGAUUUUGUUCGACACUUUCAGUACAAUCUAGGCAUUAUCCCAGACCGCUCCUCUCUAUCUAAUAUGGAAAAGAAAUCGGAGGAAAUCUUUAGGGAGUUUGGGCUCAGAUAGAAGGAACAGGCUGCUCGAGUCAAUCCUCCGAUUGGUGAAGAAGAAAUGGUUGAGCUUUUCCUACAAGCCUAGGAGCCCACCUACUUUAGUCAUUUGAUCCCGGCCUUGGGUAAACCUUUCAAUGAUGUGGUAAAAAUGGGGGAGAUGGUAGAAGAGGGAAUCAAGUUAGGCAAAAUUAUGAGUUAUUCUGCAUUGAAAGACACUACAAAAGACAUUCUAAACAUCGCAAUAAGUUUGGAUGGAAGAAAGAGAAAUAGAAAAGAUGUUGUUGAGCUGCGCCAAUGACAGGAUCCAGUAGGCAUUCCUGCUCAACGCUUUUAGCCUUGAUAUCGACCCCAUGGAUAUCCCUGUGCUCCAGAUAAUCCUCCCCAAUGCUACUUCUCUCCACAAAACCCCCCAAGUCGUACAUCACCUUCCCAGUACUCUGUCUACAAUGCACCACCCUAUGCCCCACACCCACGAGACCCGCGAUGGCCUGCACCACUUUAACAAAUGUCUUACCCGCCCCCUCAAGCAUAUCAACCACCUACCCGCAAAAGGUUCCAGCCGAGGCCAGACUACAAGAUAAAAAGGCAAAAGCAAAAGGAAAAGACUUUCACUCCCAUUGGAGAAUCAUAUGCCAGUUUGUUCCAAAGGUUGAGGCAAUUGGACAUGUUAAAGCCGAUUCAGAUAAAAACGUCGAACCCUCAAAGGUGUGCACAUUGCUCUAAUGCCCCAGGUCAUAAUACAGAAAAGUGUUGGCAUCUGAAAAAAUCAAUUCAGAAGCUUAUUGAUGCAGGCGAUAUUGUCGUGCAAAAUCUAGCUGCAGUAGACACUAGCCAAAGUCCAUCGCCUGUUCAUAAUGAAACGCAUAUGGUGGAUAUGAUUUGUUUUAAAACGGAAUAUGAGAAUUCUUCUGAGAUCCUCGGAGGUCCACGUGCUGCAAAGCUUUCAACGCUAUCAGAGGUUGAUCUUAAGAAUGAGCCGGCAAAAGGGACCCAAAUACAAUUUGCUAAAGUCAAUGUGAUGGAGACUUGUGAAGGUCCUAGUAAUGUUGAUGCGGAACUCAGUAGAUAAGAUGUCGUGCUUGGUAAUAGGAAAGAUGCUCCAUCCUUGGCUAGCCGGGAAGGAGUCUUGGUGGUUUAUUUUGUUGUCAUUUCUGUUGUCCGGGUUAUUUUCAAGGUUGUAAUCCGGAUAUUUUCUUGUGACUCAAACUCUUCUAUCCUUUUAUUUUGCUUAGUUUUUUUAGUCGUAGUGUCUCGUUUAGUGUUGUCUAGUUUUGUUCCAGGGUUGUACCCCAGUUUGUUUUGCUUGUCUUAUUGUUCAAACCCUUUAACCGUCUGUCUAAUGCAAUUUUCUGUUUUCUAUUAUUUCUGGUCAUUUUGUUUUAGUUCUCUUCUCCUUUUAUAGUUUUUUUCCUCAUGUUGGCUCUAGUGACAUGACAUGCACGCAUAAUUCUAGGCCUAGGCUUAAAAGUUAGUUUAAUCAUGAAGCAAUGAAACAAUUUUGAAGAUGAUAGGGACACUUGAAGGAAAUAAGUACAUAUUUGGACAUUUUGAGACCAUUUGAAGCCCGAACUGUGUGAAAUUGGGGCGGAUAGCUUGUGAAGUUAAUAGGGUGACAAGAAUUCAUUAAAGGAGAGUACAUCCCUGACAAUUUGAAGUGAGUAGUUUCGAGUUCAAGUGUACCUCAGGUAACAAGAUAAAUCCAAGGGAGUUUGCUCCGAAUUGACGGGGCACAUCCAUUUUAAAGAAGAAAUCACCCAAGAAGAGCUAUAUAUUUGACAAGGCACUAAAGAAAGGCGGAGGGCAUAUCUGUGGUACCACUGUCGAUGCCGCAAAAGAAAUAUUGGGCAUGAUCUUCAAUUUUUAUCCUCAAGUUGCAUGUGUUGUACUUGGCAUUUUCAGGGAUUGGGAGGCCCUCUUUCAUCUACCCAAACACUUAUACCAUUUUGUACCCCUUUGAGCCUAUGCUGAAUUCUUUGACCUCCUCUCUUUUAGAAUCAAGUUAGAGGCAUACGAAAAAGAGAUUCAUGUCCCCAUAGGUUUACUUUAGAAAGUUCAUUCCAAAAAGAAAAUUCAAAAAAAGAAGAAGAGAAAAAUAGAGAUAAAAAAAGAAAAAAAAAGUAAAAGAGAAAAAGAUAAAGAAAAAGAAAAAUAGUAAUAAAAGUAGUCUUGUGAACUAUGUUUGACCUGAUUCUUGUCACCACAAGAUACGCAAGCAGCCUUACGGUUCGAUACCAAAUAAAAUAUUUCAUAAUCCCACGAAGUUAAGAGUGGGGGUGGUUUUUCUUAGAAUCAAAUUCUCUUGUUUAAGAAAUUGGGGCAAAGUUUAAAAUGGAUUCCUAAAGUUGUAAAUAAAUUAACCCUAUUAUCUUAGUUUUUUUGAGCUUUUAUGAUAUCCUUUCUUUCUAACCCUGUCCAAAAGACAUAUUACAGUCCAAAAAAGACUUCCAAGAUAAUCUUUGAGAGUGCUGAAUUUAGACAUGCCAAGAGCACAUGAUAUUUUUAUCACGGUUGAUGCUUUGCUAUCUGCAGAAUCAGAGGAAACAAGAAGAAAAGAACAAAAUGAGAGAGUCUUAUUGGUGAAAACCUUCACAGGCACCAUAAGGUGAUGGUGAGUUGAGAGAAAGAAUAAAAUGAGAGAGGAUUGAUGGUGAAAACCCUUCGGGCACUACUUGUCAAAUGAGGAUCGUGAAUCUGAUUAGAUAAUCGGAGCAUUGAAGCCUAGUUUCACGGUUUAGGGGUAUAGUAAGAGUUGAACAUCAUACUUGCUUAACCGAUUAGGCCACUUGAUCCAAAAGUGCAUGUCAUGGUCAUUAGAGAUGGAAUCCCCAUCUGAUAAGUUUAUACUUUGUAGUUUUUUUAUUAGGAAUCAUCUCUUUACUUUGUCCUUUACUCUGUUCCUUUUGUCUUGUUUACUUCCCCUACCUGAGUCUGUUUGGUCAGAACAAGUUAAAAAAGCUCUGCGAUAGUGGUAAGCUGCCGCUGACCGCGAAAAAUGCACCACGACAGCGAUUGAGACUUCAUAUAACCCCUAUUUUGGACCUUCUAGCACCGCAAACCGCGAUCAAUUUUCGCCUCCACGGUGAGGCCAUCGCGACCGCGAAAAAUAGAGCGCGACAAUUGUCCAAACUUCAGAGAGUGCCAAAUGUUUCCAGAUUAGUCCUGCACUGCAUCAAACAUCCCUAUACAUGUCAUACAACCAGUUAGUUCAAAAACAAAUCCUACACUAAGAAGAAAAUCAAAGAAAAACAAAAAAGAAACACAUGGGUUGCCUUCCAAGAAGCGCCUGAUUAAACGUCGUGGCACGAUGCAGGUUACUAUCAAUCACUUGAGAUGGAUCAGUGCCACCAUGUUGCUGUCAUCAAACUUUCCAAGAUAGUUCUUGACUCUAUGCCCAUUAACUCUGAAGAUCUCACAAUUUUUGUUUUUCAAAUGAAGAGCACCAAACAGAGUCACAAGCACCACCUCAAAAGGUCCACUCCAUUUUGAUUUAAGCUUUCCCGGAAACAGUCGUAAUCGGGAAUUAAACAAGAGAACCAAAUCACCCACUUUGAACUCCUUUCCACGAGCAUACUUGUCAUGAAGGUACUUCAUCUUGUCCUUAUCCAAGGACGAACUGGAGUAGGCAUGAAACCGGAACUCAUCGAGCUCAUUAAGCUCUCCACUCGAAGAUUUGCUGCCACAUCCAAUUCAAGAUUUAACUUCCUCAAAGCCACAUGGCCUUGUGCUCUAACUCAACCGGUAGAUGGCAAGCUUUCCCAAACACCAAGCGGUACAAGGACAUACCAAUCAAAGUCUUGUAAGUAGUUCUAUAAGCCUACAGAGCAUCAUCCAAUUUCUUUGACCAAUCAUUCCUAUUUGCACUGACCGUCUUUGACAAUAUGCUUUUGAUCUCCCUGUUAGAGACCUCAACUUGCCCACUAGAUUGAGGAUGGUAAAGGGUAGAAACCUUGUGAUUGACAUCAUACUUUGCAAGCAAAGUGUCAAAUGCCUUAUUGCAGAAAUGUGACCCUCCAUCACUAAUGAUUGCUCUAAGAGUGCCAAACCGAGUAAAGAUACUCUUCUUGAAAAAAGCCACAACACUUCGGGCCUCAUUGUUGGGUAAAGCCACGGUUUGAAACAUAAUCAACGGCCACAAGAAUGUACAUGUUGCCACAAGAUCUCACAAACGGACCCAUGAAAUUAAUGCCCCACAUAACAAUGAUGUCAACCUCGAGAAUAGUGGUCAGAAGCAUCUCAUCCUUCUUUGAAAUUCCACCCGCUAUUUGACAUUCAUCACAUUUCUUUACCAGUUCACUUGUAUCCUUGUACAAUGUGGGACAAUAAAAACCACAACUAAGCACCUUUGAAGUGGUCCUCGCCCUACCAUGAUGACCACAUUAGGGAGAGGAAUGACAAGCAUCCAGAAUACUCAANNNNNNNNNNNNNNNNNNNNNNNNNCUCACACGGAACAAUACCAGUCACAAGAAAAUUAGCAACAUCCGCAAACUAAGGCAUGUUAUUCACCGAUUCAGAGAGCAGUUGCUCAUUAGGGAAUGAAUCAUUAAUUUUGAGGCUAUCAUGGGGCCUCCCCUCCUUCUCCAAGCAGGACAAGUGGUCCACCACUUGGUUUUCACAUCCUUUCCGGUCCACAAUCUCAAGAUCAAACUCGUGAAGCAAUAAGACCCAUCUCAUCAACUGCGCUUUGGAAUCCUUCUUCGUCAUCAAGUAGUAGAGUGCUGCAUGAUCGGUGUGAACUAUCAACUUGGCACCCAUGAGAUAAGGCCAAAACUUCUCCAUUGCAAACAUAAUUUCUAACAACUCUUUUUCCAUCACCGUAUAAUUCACUUAAGCAUCAUUCAUUAUUUUACUUUCAUAAUACACUGGGUGAAACAUCUUAUUCACUCUUUGACCCAAAACCGACGCAACAUCGCUUGUGUUAUACAUGAGCUCAAAAGGUAAGCUCCAAUUGGGUGUGGUAAUAAUGGGAGUGGUUUUCAAUUUGUACUUGAGCAGCUCAAAAGCAGUCAUGCAUCCCUCAUUAAACAUGAACUUCACAUCCUUUUCCAAUAGCUUGCACAAAGGAUUCACAACCUUAGAAAAGUCUUUGAUGAAUCUUCGGUAGAACUCCACAUGCCCAAGAAAAAUUCUAACCCCCUUGACUGAGGUAGGAGGGGGAAGCCUUGAAAUCACUUCAAUUUUAGCCUUGUCCACCUCUAUACCGUGCUUCGAGAUCUUAUGGCCAAGGACAAUGCCCUCCUCGACCAUAAUGUGGCUUUUUCCCAGUUAAGCACAAGAUUGGUCUCUUCACACCGGGCCAACACCUUGUCAAGAUUCUUCAAGCAUUCUUCAAAUGAGUCACCCACAACACUGAAGUCGUCCAUGAACACCUCCAAAAUGUCCUCUACCAUAUCGGUAUAUAUGGCUAUCAUACACCGCUGGAAUGUAGCUGAUGCAUUACACAACCCAAAUGGCAUCCUAGAAAAGGAAAAGGUGCCAUACAGACACGUGAAAAUGGUUUUGUCCUGAUCUUUCGGAGCAAUCAAAAUCUAGUUGUACCCAUAGUAACCAUCCAAGAAAUAGUAGAAGGAACGCCCAACAAGUCUAUCUAGCAUCUAGUCAAGUAAGGGCAAUGGAAAAUGAUCCUUGAGGGUCACUUUAUUCAACUUGCAGUAGUCCAUGCACACCCUUCAUCCGGUGACAGUCCUGGUGGGAAUCAACUCAUUUUGCGCAUUGGUAACCACAAUCAUACCACCCUUCUUUGGCACAUAUUGCAGCGGCAAAGUCCAAGAACUAUCUGAGAUGGGGUACACAACCCCUGCAUCCAACCACUUGAUCACCUCCUUUUUGACAACAUCUUGCAUAGCCUCAUUUAAUCUCCUUUGAUGUUCCACGGAGGACUUGGCAUCAUCUUUAAGAAUACUCUUGUGCAUGCAAAAGGCGGGGCUAUCCCCUUGAUAUCAGCUAGAGUCCAUCCAAUUGCCUUCUUUCANNNNNNNNNNNNNNNNNNNNNNNNNGAAGUUGAACUAGGGCCUAAGAAUUCAUACCUGAGGUGUGGAGGCAAAGUCUUCAACUCUAACAUGGGAGGUUCCUCGAUUGAGGGCUUUGUUGGUGGAUUCUUUCUAUUUUAAAGAUCCAAAGAGAGCUUUCGAGGCUCAUAAGAGUAAGAUCACAUUCCAAGCAAUGCAUUGACCCACCCGACCUUCAUCUUCAUUUAUAUCAAGGUUCAACAACAUCGCUUCUAGAGGAUCCUCUACAUUGAUCAUUGCACUAGUAUCAUCAACUAUCACUUCCAUGACAAGAUCUAUGAAAGAGCACACUUCAGUACUGUUGGGCUGCUUAAUUGCACACAUGAAAAACCACUUUUUCACCACCCACCCGGAAGGUGAGCUCCCAUGCUUCCACAUCAACCAAGGCCUUCCCAUUUGCAAGGAAAGGUCUUCCCAAUAUGAUCGGAACCUCAUAAUUAACCUCACAGUCCAAAAUCACAAAGUUAGUGGGCAAAAUGAACUUGUCGACCCGAACAAGAACAUCAUCGAUAAUACAAAGCGGCCUCUUCAUCAUUCCAUCCUCCAUUUGCAACCUCAUUGAAGUAGCCCUCGAUUGAACUAUACCUAAAGUUUUUAACACGGAGUAAGGCAUCAGAUUGAUACUUGCACCCAAAUCGCACAAUGCCUUAGAAAAAUCGGCACUUCCAAUAGCACAUGGAAUAGUGAAAGCGUCGUGAUCUUCAAGCUUUCGAGCCAUCAAUUGCACAAUUGCACUUACUUGGUGAGUCAUUUUGAUGGUCUCACAAUCCAUGGACCUCUUUUUAUUCACCAAGUCUCUCAUGAACUUGGCGUAACCCGACAUUUGCUCAAGAUCUUCCACUAAAGGAACAUUGAUUGAUAAGCUCUUCAUCAUGUCAAUAAAUUUUCUAAAUUCGUUCUAAUUCUUUUGCUUCGCAAGCCUUUGAGGGUAAGGUGGAGGAGGCCUUGGCAAGGGAGCCUUAACCUUAGGCACUACUAUUUUCGGUAUGUCUAUUACGUGUUCCCUAGACGGGUUCACGUCAUCUUGAGUCUCCACCUCAUUAUCAUGAACAUCAAUCCUCACUUCCGCAUUCAAGUUAUCUUCACUCAUAUUUUCAUCAACUAAAGGGAUAUCAUCAUCUUGCACCUCAACUUCAUCACUCACAGUUUCCUUUUGCUUGGAGGCAUUCUCAUCACCACCUUGACCGCUUCUGGUAAUCACCGCCAUGGCAUGCUCGGUGUUGUUCCCACCCUUUGGGUUUACUACCGUAUCACUAGGUAGAGCCCCCUUAGGGUGAGUAUUCAAUGAUUGUGAAAUUUGGCCAAGAUGCACCUCCAAGUUUCAGAUUGAAGUAUUGUGGGAUGCCAACUGGGGAUCAGAGUCGGCAUUCUUUUUCAUCAUCUGUUCAAACAUCAUCUCGAUCCUUCCUAUCUCAUUGUUUGACGUGCUAGGACCUUGGGAUGGAAAUGGAGAUGGAUUAUUUGGUUGUUGAUACAUCGGAGGCCUUUGAAAGCCUUGCCCCUAUUCCCUUGUUUGCCAUUAUUCCAGCCCCCUUGGUUGUUGUUUCCUCCCCAAUUGUUGUUGUUUCCACUCUAGUUGCCCUGGUUGUUCUGGUUACCCGAAGUUUUAUUGUUGUUCCCCCAGUUGCUAUUGCCUUGUUUGUUUUUAUUUCCCUAAUUUCCUUAGGAUCUCCACUAUCGUUGUUGGUUAGGAACAUUGCCCCUUUGUCCUUGAUAAUUGUUCAUGUACUGCACUUCUUCAUUUUGAUCACCAUAGCCCUCAUCUUAAUUGAAACCACCACUACCUUGUUCAUAUUAAUCCGGACUACCUUGACCUUGUUGGCCUCUUUUUCAUCUCUUAUUUACCAACAUGUUGACACCUUCCAUAGCAGUUACUUGUCUAGUAGCUUGAACUUGUUGCAAUUGAGCUUUUGCCAACUGGUUCAUUGUUAUAGUUAACUUUGAUAUUGCAUGGCCAUGAUCAUGGAGCUCUUUGUGCAAAUGGAUAACAAUGGGGUCACCCUGAGGCACACUGGCUCAACUUUGCCAAGUUGAGGAAGUAUUUGCCAUCUCAUCCAAUAUCUCACACGCCUUAUUAUAAGGUGUGUUCAUAAAGUUUUCCCCUACUAGCUGGUUCACUACACACUGAUUUGUCAUGUUAAUACCAUGGUAGAAUGUCUGUUGAAUCAUUGCCUCGGUCAUGUCAUUGUUCGAACAUUCUUUCGCCAUUGUCUGAUAUAUCUCCCAGAUCUCAUGAAGUUGUUUAUUAGGUUUUUGCUUGAAGGUCAAAAUCUCAUCUCUCAAAGUUGCCAUAUGCGCUGGCAAGAAAAACAUUGCUAUAAACUUGUCCGCCAACUCAUCCCACAUAGUGAUGUAAUGGUUGGGAAGCCUUUUGAGCCAGUCCAAAGCUUUCCCUCCAAGUGAGAAAGGGAAUAAUCUCAACCGUAAUACAUCCUCUAACACAUUUGUUUUCUUGCUUCCCCAACAGGUAUCUACGAAGCCUUUAAGAUAUUUAUAUGCAUUCUGAUGAGGAGCAACUGUAAAAUACCAACGCUGCUCCAAUAAGGUCAACAUUAGAUUUGUAAUUUGGAAAUUGCCCGCCCGGAUUCGGGGUGGGACAAUUGCACUAGCAUAUCCUUCGUUUGGAAGCAUCCGAGGAGCCACUCUUGGAGGGGGGGGGGGGGGGGGGUAGGUUCUGAAAUAUUUUCAUUGGCCGAGCGGCCUCUUCUUUGUCCUUGGGGAAACUAUAGGGACCUCAUCAUCACCAUUAUCAUCAAUCUCCUCCCCCGGGAUCACGUUUCCAAGAGGGUCAUUAUUAUUAUUCGGUAUUUUGUACCUGAAUUGGCGACAUACACAAAUUAGUAUCACAGAAUAAAAGUAAAACAAGACACAAAACUAUUUAGAUAGAUAGCCAUAAUCGUUAGCUCCCUGGCAACGACGUCAAAAAGUGAUCGGGUCCAACCCUACAUCACUACAGAGUGACAAGAGCGGUCGAUGUAGAUUUAACCCGAGAAGGUCGGGAUCGAAUCCAUAGGGAGCUAAGAUAAUAUUUGGAGUUGGGUUCCUAUCUAACCUAGCACUGUGAGAUGUAAUUGUUUGCACUUCCAAUCAUUCUUGUUUGUUUGUUACUUUAAUUUUAUAAUAAUGCGCGAAAUUAAGCUAAGUAGAUACUUUUGUAGGGCUUUCUAAAUGGGUAAAGAGGCACUAGGGAAGUGACUUACUCCUAGCGAGUAUCUAACAAGAUCUAAAACUUAGGGCAAGAAUGUUAUCGUUGGGGUCGUGAUAUAACUAAUGCACGAAGCUACUCACUCUACACCUCUCGGUAGUAAGAGUGACUUUGUCCUAAUUGGCUUUCUCAAGCCCAAUUGGGUGUUCAAUUUGUGCAAGCAAUGUUGGCUCAACUCGGGUAUUACUAUCUCUAGGUUUAAACCUUUAAUUGGGGCUAUCAAUCUCUUGAAUACACUCCCAAUUCCUUGUUGAUCUGAAAUUCCUAGACUUGGUCUCUCUUUCUCAAGAAGAGCCUAAGUCAAAAAGGCACAAAUUAGUGUUUUGCAACCACUAAUUCAACAUAGAAAGCAUAAAUCAGGCCAAAUAACAAUUACCCAUAAACAUCUAAGCCCUAAAAUAAGAGACCAUUAAAUACCCACACUAAAGUUGAGCCACAACCCUAGCUAAUGGGUUUACCUACUCAUAAUCGAAAAAGAAAUCAUAGCUUGAGAUGAACAAUAAUCCAUAAAUUGUAAUUACAAGAUAAGAGUUUAUGAUUAAUUGCUAAGUAAGCUACAAAAUUACUCAAAAAUAGACAAAAGUCGGCGUUCACGUGCUCAGCUAACAUACGAUGACCUAAAAAUCGGAAAAAGUAAUAUUUAUACACAGCUAAAUUUUCAGGACAAAAAUGCCCUUGACGGAGGUAGCGCUGACAGCUAAAAAUGGGCCGCUGCUGUGGUGAGGCUACCGCGGAUCGCAAUCUUCAAGUUUUAGCUUCAAUCUUUGGCUCUCUGAAUCUCUUCUCCGCGGACUAUGAUAAAAGGAUCGAUGUCCCGGUAAAGGUACCGCAGUCGCAUAAAAUCACCACGGACCGCGGUGACUUGGAAAACCUCAAAUAUAAUCUCUCUGAAUCUUUAUGUCACGGACCGCAAUAAAAGGACCUCUGUCGCGGUAGGUCCUUCGCGUCCGCAGUUGGUUUUCCACUGUAGCGGUGCUUUGACUUGGUUUUGAACUUGUGCAGGUUUCACUCCUUUUUAGAGCUGGUUAUGACAUCCUUGCCUCUUUUUGACCAAACAUUGUAAAAAAGCACAACAAGUUAGCUUUUGGGAAUACUUGUACACAUUUUAGUCCAAAACUCAAGCAUAAAGGAGCAUAAAAUAGACUUGAAUCCUUAGUUAUCAGUAGCCGAUUUUACUCGAAGUGGAAAAAGAACUUCUGCUAAAAUUAGGUACAUCAUCGGGGGUAUGGACCCUUUUUACCGACAGUGCCUCGAAUGUGAAAGGGUCCGGGCUCGGCAUUGUUUUGAAGCCACCAACAGGUAGUACUAUUAGACAAUAUAUCAAAACUUCUAGGUUGACCAAUAAUGAGGCCGAAUAUGAGGCCGUGAUUGCAGGACUUGAGAAAGCUAAAAACUUGGGAGUAGAAGUCAUUGAAGCCAAGUUUGAUUUGUUGUCGCUGGUUAAUCAAGUAAACAAAAGCUUUGAAGUUCGAGAGGAUAGGAUGCAACAGUACAUGGGUAAGCUGCAAGUAACAUUGCACCACUUCAAAAAGUUGACUCUAGAUCAUGUGCCUCGAGAACAAAAUAGUGAGGCCGAUGCACUUGCUAAUUUGGGGCCAUCGGUUGAAGAAGAUGAUAUCGUCCCGGGGACCGUCGUCCAAUUGUCGAAGUCUAUGAUUGAAGAGGGUCAUGCCGAGAUAAAUUUUACAAGUUUGAUUGGAGGAAUAAGUAUAUCGAUUAUUUGAAAAAUGGAAAACUCCCAUUGGACCACAAAGAAUCGAGGGCCCCACAAACCAAGGCUACUAAGUUCACAGUAGAUGAAGAUGGUACAUUGUAUAGGAGGACAUUCGAUGAACCAUUACCGGUAUGUUUAGGGUAGGGGAACACCGAUUAUGCUCUACGAGAAAUCCACGGAGGUAAUUGUGUGAAUCACUCCGGCGCAGUCUUUGGUCCACAACAUUAUUAGAGCAGUGUAUUAUUGGGAUAGCAUGGAAAAAGACACCAAGGAGUUUGUUAAAAAAUGUUAUAAAUGUCAAAGUUUCGCACCAAUGAUUCACCAGCCCAGAGAGCAACUACACUCAGUCCUGUCCCCGUGGCCUUUCAUGAAAUGGGGAAUGGACAUAGUCGGCCCUCUACCAAUGGCACUGGGUAAAGCUAAAUUCUUUUUUUUUAUGACUGACUACUUUUCUAAGUGGGUGGAAGCACAUGCCUUCGAGAAGGUCAUAGAAAAAGAAGUUAUUGACUUCAUUUGGGACCAUAUCGUGUGUCCAUUCGGGAUACCCGCCGAAAUCGUGUGCGACAAUGGCAAGCAAUUCAUUGGCAGCAAGGUAACGAAGUUCCUCGAAGCAUACAAAAUAAAAAAAAAAUUAUCAACACCAUAUCAUCCAACCGGGAACGUACAGGCUGAAUCAACAAACAAUACUAUCAUACAAAACCUAAAGAAAAGGUUGGACGAUGCAGAAAAUGAAGAGAAGUUCUACCCGAGGUCCUUGGGCAUAUCUAACAGCAUCGAAGUCCAGCACGGGGGCUACUCUGUUCUUUUUAGUAUACGGCUCCGAGGCCUUAAUCCCGGUCAAAGUUGGAGAACCCAACGCCAGUUUUCAACAUGCAUCAUAGGAGUCAAAUCACGAGGCUAUGAAUACUAGCCUCGAGCUAUUGGAUGAAAAAUGAGAAGCAGCACUUGUUCGGAUGGCCGCACAGAAGCAAAGAGUCGAGAGAUACUAUAAUAGAAGGACCAACCUUAGACACUUUGAAAUUAAGGACUUAGUUCUAUGAAAAGUCACCCUUAAUACUCGAGACCCAAAUGAAGGAAAACUGGGCCCGAAUCGAAAAGGACCAUAUCGAGUCAUUGGAAUUUUCGGCAAAGGAUCUUACAAACUUGGCACGAUGGAAGGCGAGUAAUUGUCAAACAACUGGAAUGUAUCAUUACUCACGCGACAUUACUGCUAAGAUAUGACCUUCUCCUUUUUUAUUUAAAUUUAAGGCUAAACAUUAUAGGCAUUCUAUCGAUGCCGAGGGUACCUUUCCACACGAAGACCUUGGGUUUUAAAGCACGCAUUGCACUCUUUUUCUCUUAGAUCAAAUUUUGUUCCAAAUGUGUUUUACCGGCGAGGUUUUUAACAAGGCAACAACUAUGUGCUACCUAAGGAGAACUCAUCAGUAUCCAAGACUUCUUUUCAGUAAACCUCGAAUACUAGGGGAUAUCACCCUCGGAGGUUAUAUUGUUUAGGAAAGUACUUUACCCCCAAAGAGGGCCUCGAUAGGAAAACUUUGUAAUGGACCAAACGGUCAGAUGAACCGUGUCCAUAUAGAAUAGUCGAGCCCCGACAGCAAACCAUGUACGCAUUUAUCAAAUUAUUCAAAGAAGCAUUCUUUCUAUCUCAAAAAACACUUCAUGUCUCGAAGAAAUUUGCUACUAUAUGAAUGUCUCGAUAGUCGACGCAUUCGAGUCACCUAAACUCAAAUUCAUAAAACCUCUAAGGGGCAUCCCCUGGACAUAAAGGCCAAGGCCAUCAUACUCGAGGACUAACCUAUUGAACAAGUUCAAAGGGUUAUUGGGAAACAACUGCAAGGGACAUACUCGAAGGUCACAGCCAUAUUAAAGGCUACAACCAUAUUAAAGACUACGAUCAUAAAAAAAGUCUAUGCCUGAAAUAAUGCGGCUCAGAGAAGUCUGACUUCCACCAUGAGUUAAAGGACUUCAAAUACUUUGAAAAACCGAAUAAACUAUGCUACCCUCGGCAAAAGUAAAAGGGCUUCGAUAAAAUCAACCUUCGAAAAAGCCUCAAAAGGUAUUCAAUUAUCAUAACACAAAUGAGGUUCCAAUCAAUCGAACCUUCGAAAAACCCAACGGGUACAAAAACACAUGCUAAGACAUAAAGAAAUUUUAACUAAGUCUUUUAGAUAAAAAGAGGGAAUAAUUAUAGUCGUCUUAGAGGCUGAAGUGGCCCAACAUAGCCUAUGGGCAGUCCUAAAAAAGCCUAAAGGCCAAUAUAAAAUGAGCCUAAGGGCUGAAACAUACGGUGUUCGAGACCUUACUCUCACUCAAGUCGGACUCAAGAGUCCUAUCAUCUCGAGCUCGCAUCAAAUCGACUUAAACAUAACUCGAGGAUUAACAAAAACCUUAAGAGGUAUUCUAUUAUAAGUUUGAAGAUCACCCAUCGAUCACUAAAAAACCUAAGGGUUGUUAUAUUCAGAAUCUGAGCCAAUGUUCACUUGAUCAUUGAAGUUACCAAAACAAUUUCACAAAAUAAAGACAAUUCAUAAUUCUAUACAAAUCAGAGAUGAAGAAAAAGAAUUCUUUAUAUUAUAAAUGAUGUUUACAAAAGAUAUUUACAACACCCACAAGGGGCCCUUACACAUAGGAACAAAAAAACCUAAUCUAUUUCGGGGCCACGUCUUCGGGAGCCAAAUCCACAAGAACUGCAUCCUUGGGAGUUGUAUCUUCGAGAACCUCCUCCUCCUUGGGGACUCCUUACUCAUCUCCCCCACCUUCAGAACCACUAACAACAUCUUCAUCAUCAGAAGAAACAAGAAACUUGUCAUCGGUUUCCAGUGCCUUUGCUUGGGCUAUUUCUUCAGUUUGGUCGAACACUCGGGCAUGGAUUUCUUCGAGAGUCUCCCUCCGGGCUUGGCACUUGGCAAAAUCAUUACUCCAUUUUUCUCGGUAGGAGACCUUCCAUAGCUUCGCUUGAAUAGCCUCGACAUAUCUUAAGUAUACGGCAAUGGUCUUAUCAGCUGUGGCCUUGGUCUUCUCAACUUCAGCAUUGGCCUCUACAACCUCGGCCCCUGCUUUAACAAGUUUUGCCUCUAGCUCCUCAAUUUUCUUGGACUGGGCCAAAUUCUUCACUUUAAUACCUCGGAGCUGAGUCUGUAUCGAGGCCAAUUGGGCUAGAGUAGCUUCUUUAUCAACAGUGAGCCGAUCCAUGUUCUCUUUCCAUCGGUGGCAGUCAGUCUUAACCUGAUCGACUUCGCCCCGGAGCUGCCCAAUCAUCUCCAACUUUUGUUGCAGCUGAGACAUCAAAUUCUAAACCCCAAGAAGACCAUACUCUAUUAAAAUUACGGUUACCUGCUUGUCUAGCUCGACCUCGUUUUUUUGAGCUUUGGCCAAGUCAGUCUGAAGGUCCUUGAGCUCCUCCUCCUUUUGGAUACAAAGGAGCCUCAAGGCCUUCUCUUCACCCAAAGCCCUCUUUAGCUCAGCCUCACAUUGGCUUAGCUCGGCCCUGAACUUGGUGAUGGCCUACACAUAGAACAAAGAUAUGUCAGCCAAAAGAAGGGGAGAAGAAAGAAAAUUACAACAAUAAAAGUUAGUGUUUACCCAAGAGAAUAGACGUUGAGCCUCUUCAAAGAGGGUGUAUACGUCAUUAAAGUCAACAACAUCGUCAACCCCGGUGAAACAAUCUCGAAAAGGAUCUUCUUCGAGAACCUUGCUUGGGUUGGGCGUUCGCAGAGCUUGAGAAUCCUUUAUCGCCUCCUCAAAGUAAGAUGGUAGAGAAGGCGAGUGACCCAUUGUCACGGUCUCGAGCUCCUCACUCGGGGUGCUAUGAUUAGCUUCAGCCCUCAGUUUUUCUCCCCUUCGGCGUACUUAUUGAAGAUGGGGGAAUGAUCUCGAUCUUGGUGAACUCGAGGGCUUUUCCCGAAUCUUUCUUCGAAGUUCCUUUACCAUGAGGCAAGGUCUCAGGUUUGGAGGGUUUGGUGGCCUCGACUAGUUUCCUAGUUCAGGGCACUAUCGCCGUUUCUUCACCCUCGUUCUCUUCAUCUUCCUGGAAUUGAACGACUGAAUCCAAGUCCACAUGGAUGAGCUUCCUACUUGGCUUUCGAAUAGGGGCCCUCUCAUCCUGUGGAUCUUCGGGCCUCGAAGCCCUCUUUCCUUUGUUGUCUUUCCCCAAUUUUGGAAUCAGUGACUCUAUCUCUUUCUAGGGCGGGGCUGGCCUUAUUUCAGAGAUAUCUCCUAUGCUUGCACAAAUAAGCAUAAGUGAGGUGGCAUCACCGAUAAAAUAAAAGUAUCAAAGAACCUGGGAAGAGAACUUACCAUGAUGUUUGGCCUCCCAUUUUCCCCUCGACAAUUCGUGCCAUUUGUGCUCAUCAUACGAGAAGGUUGCGGCUAAUUUUCAGAACCGAUCCUCGAGGCCGGGGAUCGCGUGGGGCAUCCAAGAAACAUUUGUAGAAAAUGUGAAGGCAUUACAAAACAUAGAAGCAGAAUAUGAGUAGGUAUUUGGAGAAGGACUUCACUUAUGAUUAAAGUUCCAUCUCUUCCGGAAUGGUAUUUUCCCCUAGGUAUGAUGUCCGAGGUCCUCACUUUGAUAAACCAGCUCAUCCAGCCUCGAUCUUUAUCCUCGUCAUUACUAGCAAAGAAGGCCUUUCUUGAUCGACGUUAAAGCUUGUUGAGCCCUCGAAACAGUUGAGGCCGGUAUAGCCGAAUGAGAUGGUUGAGGGUAAACUCGAAUCCCUCGGCCUUGCAGGAGAAAUAACACAGCAUAAUCACGAUGCGCCAAAAGGACGAAUGGAUCUGGCCGAGGGUAACCUUGUACUUUUUGCAAAAAUCAAUUACUACAGGAUCGAGGUGACCUAAUGUGAAGGGGUAAGUGUAAACACUUAAGAACCCCUCCACAUAAGUAGUGAUGCUUUCCUCAAGGUCGGGGAUCUGUACCACGACCUCAUCUCCCUAGCUGCAGUCCUUUUUCAGGGCCUUAAGGUGCUUCGCUGAUAUCGAACUGAUAUAUAAAGAUACAUGUUCGCAUCGGCCUAGGAUAUUGGGGGUUUUUCAAUAUUGAAAUCCUACUUUAUCACACAGGGCCGAGAAUGAUUUCAUGAAGGGCCAGCACCACCAGUUUAGCUGGCCGGGAAGAAGAAGAAGAUGAUGCCUUUUCUUUUUGGGGGACUGUCUUAGAAGCUUUGGCCAUAGUUUUAAGCUAAUAGAUGCAAAAGGCAGCAGAGCGUGGUGUUUUUUGGGAAGCUUGGUGUUUUCCGGCACUUAAACAGGCGGUAGAAGUAGAUGAUAAGAGAAAGAGAUAAAGGGGAAAGGUGAUCAGAGUAAAUGUAAUGAAGAAGUAAAGUUUUUAAUUCAAAUAAGGAGUCCCGUAUUUAUAGAUGAGCGGCGACGGUUCUGCGGAUGAGGGCUACUGGGAGGGGCCACCAAUUUGUUCUACGCGAAUGCGGCCACUGGCCCGCGAACAUGAGGGCUCGAGGUGCAAAAGCAUCGCGAACGCGAGCCCAAUGUCACGAACUUGAAGGUCUUCAGACCUGACCCAUCACGAACGCGAGUUGCCCAUCUCGAACGCGAAGGGCAAUUUUGCCCAGUUAUUUUGAAACCCCAAAACUGAAUCAUUACGGGAUUUUUACAAACUUGACAAACUUCUUCUUCUCCAAAGUUCUAGGGCGACUUGUGAAGCAUCUUUUCACCAUUAACUCGUGGGUUAGCAAUAUUUAACUCGUUUUCUUCAUUUUCAAUCAACAUCUUUUGAAAUUUUGGGCCUAAAACAUGUGAUUAAGGGUAGAAAUUACGGAAUUGGGUAGAGUUAGGGCUUUUUGAUUUUUCUUGAUUUAGACCUCGUUUUGGGGUUGAAUUUAAAAACAAAUUAUAUAUUCAGGCUCAUGGGUGAAUGGGUGAUUUGAUUUUGGUCCGAACCUCGUGUUUUGACAAAGCGGGCCCGGGGUUGAUUUUUGGGAUUUUGGGAAGAAUGCUUGGAAAGCUAUAAUUAGGCAUUGGGUUCGCAUUGUUUAGCAUUUAUUGAUGUAUUGAAGUCAUUAUUGUAUAGAUACAAUCGGUUUGGAUCCAAAUUCGAGAGGAAACUCGGUAAUUGAGGAUUGAUUUGUCCAUGGAAGUUUGAGGUACGUGUUUUGUCUAACCUUAGCUUGAGGGAUUAGGAGUUGUGUCCUACUUGCUAUUUGCUUCUUGUUGAGUACGACGUAUAGGAAUGGUGAUGAGUAUCUAUACAUUAGUGUAUAGAAUGACCGUGAGUCUUAUAUUGUGAAUUUUCAUGAUUUUGUUGUAUUAUUCAUGCCUUGUUGAAGAUUUCUAAUUGUUGUAUAAAGUUUGUGGAAAGAUUUGUGACCUAUGAACAUUGAGGAGCAUUGGCUCAAGUUGUAUAGCAAAACUGUGAAAGUAUAAGUGACAAUUGAACUUUUAGAGCAUUGGCUCGAGUUGUGAAAUGAGUAGUGAAGUAAAAACUCUAGAGUAUUGGCUCGAGUUGUGAAGUGAAUUGUGAAAUAAAAGUGAAGGAAAGAGAAAGUGUUAUUAAAUUGUUCCCUUGCCGGGAUAUUGUUGCUUUGUUGGUUAUCUCCAUUGAUGGGAUGUUGAUAUUAUUGAUGCUGUUCCCUUGUCGGGAUUUAAUUAUUUAAUUGUUGUUCCCUUGCCGGGAUUCCUAUUAUGAUUGUGUUUAUUCCCUUGACCCUUUGUUUGUGAUUGUUGUUUGGGUGAGGAAGAGUGUUAAAGCACUAAGGGUGAUGUCGUGCAUUAUUUGUUUUUGUGAGGAAAGAGUGUAAAGCACGAAGGGUGAUGCCAUGCCGCACGAUGUACCAUUCCGUGCCGAUUUUAUUGAUUAUAUGGUGAGGAAAGAGAGUAAAAUCACGAAGGGUGAUGUCAUUCACAUUUCUAUUAUAUAAUUGCUUUGGUGAGGACGAGAGUAAAGCACGAAGGGUGAUGCCGUGCAUUUGUUGAUUUCUGAUUCUUUGUUGAUAUCCGAGUUAUGUUGUUUCUUUCAUUAUUUGUUGUUAUUUGAUUUUACUUUGAGGUUAUAGAUUCCCUUACCCUAUUUUUCUUGUGAUUGUUAUUUGGGUGAGGAAGAAAGUAAAGCACGAAGGGUAAUGCGGUGUGUUGUUUUGGUGAGAGAGUGUUAAAGCACGAAGGGUGAUGCCGUGUAUUUUCUUGGUGAGAGAGAGUUAAAGCAUGAAGGGUGAUGUCGUGCAUUUGUCUUUGAUUUCCCUAAUUUUAUUAUUUAUAACUGUGUUACGGUUUCUCUACACUAAAUUGUUGGCUUCCUGUUGAUACUUGUUGUGCCCCGUAGCAAGAUUUCCCCUUCUGUUUUCAAUUGAACGGUGGUGAUCCUCAUACUUAUUUGUUGCUUUUCUAUUACUAUUUGAUGUUUCCCUGUAGCAUGUUUCCCCCUCCCAUACUUGACUAUAUGUGACCAUUUCUUUCCGUACUUCUUUUCUGCUAUAUAUAGUUAAAUUGUACAGGUUUAUUUGGUAGUCUGGUCCUAGCCUCGUCACUACUUUGCCGAGGUUAGGCUAUGCACUUACCAGCACAUGGGGUCGGUUGUGCUGAUACUACACUCUACACUCUUUUGUGUAGACCCCAGGGUUGUAGACUUCGGACCGCGGUGGGAUUGCUGAUUCUUGCCCAUCA
rnacentral:lncRNA from 1 species